AUCUAGUUGAAGUGUCUCAAAUAGGACGAAACGUAUGUCCUGGAU
rnacentral:hammerhead_ribozyme from 1 species